rnacentral:sRNA from 1 species
UAAUCAAUAGAAUUGCCUUGGUCCUGGAGAGGUGUAAGGUUACUUAGGUAUAAAUAACGACACUAUUAUACUCCCUCGGUUUGGUGUCAAACAUCUAUUUCCAAUAUCUGCAUAUUUCAUUUGACUUGAAGUGGGCAUCUUGAGUGGUGAAAUCUACCCUGUUUUCUUAUUAAAAUGCUUGUCACUUUGUGUGGGUUUCAACUUGCUAUUACAUAAUAUUUAGCCAGCCUAACAUUGUACUUAAUACGUUGUAUGUGGUGGAUAAUACUUAAUAAAUAUUUACCCAAUCCAAGUCUUGCCCUUUACAAACCUAACACAUGUAUAGCAUAUUCUAAACUCUAUGUUAUAUACUUAACAAUAUUACCUGCAAAAAGGCCAGUUGUUUCUCUUGGUCUUCUUUGCUUUUCUUUCAGAACCCUGGAAAUGGUCUAAGCUAAGUGUUCUAACAGUUUGGUCCUCUGAAGAAGAGCAUCAGCAUCACCUGGGAACUUGUUUAAAAUGGCAAUGCCUUCCAGGGCCCUCGGGAAGCAGAUGUUGUGGCAAGAGAGGAGGUCACUGAAUUGAUCCAACUCCAGGCGGAAAGGAUUUCGGCCUUAAAGGAGGAGAUAGCUCUUUUGCGUAGGAAAGGUGGUCUUAUCCUCCCACCCAUUCAGUCUCCACGAGAGAAAGAGAUACAGCCCGCGGACCUUUGAGUUUGCUAUUUUCUCAGAUCCAUA